rnacentral:rRNA from 1 species
GAUGAACGCUGGCGGCGUGCCUAAUACAUGCAAGUCGAGCGAACGGACGAGAAGCUUGCUUCUCUGAUGUUAGCGGCGGACGGGUGAGUAACACGUGGAUAACCUACCUAUAAGACUGGGAUAACUUCGGGAAACCGGAGCUAAUACCGGAUAAUAUUUUGAACCGCAUGGUUCAAAAGUGAAAGACGGUCUUGCUGUCACUUAUAGAUGGAUCCGCGCUGCAUUAGCUAGUUGGUAAGGUAACGGCUUACCAAGGCAACGAUGCAUAGCCGACCUGAGAGGGGGUUCGGCCACACGGGAACUGGAACACGGUCCAGACUCCUAGGGGAGGCAGCGGUAGGGAAUCUUCCGCAAUGGGCGAAAGCCUGACGGAGCAACGCGGCGUGGGUGAUGAGGGUCUUCGGAUCGUAAAACUCUUUAUUAGGGAAGAACAUAUGUGUAAGUAACUGUGCACAUCUUGACGGUACCUAAUCAGAAAGCCACGGCUAACUACGUG